rnacentral:tRNA from 1 species
GCACCCGUAGCUCUAUUGGAUAGAGCGUUGGUCUACGGAACCAAAGGUUGUGGGUUCGAUUCCCUCCGGGUGCA